GGAGAGAUGCCCGAGAGGCCGAUGGGGCUCGCCUGCUAAGCGAGUGUGUGGGUAAUACCGCACCGAGGGUUCGAAUCCCUCUCUCUCCGCCA
rnacentral:tRNA from 1 species